rnacentral:rRNA from 1 species
AUUGAACGCUGGCGGCAGGCCUAACACAUGCAAGUCGAGCGAGCGGCGGACGGGUGAGUAAUGUAUGGGGACUGCCCGAUAGAGGGGGAGAACUCCUGGAAACGGUAGCUAAUACCGCAUACUAUCGGAUAACCCAUAUGGGAUUAGCUAGUAGGUGAGGUAAUGGCGCACCUAGGCUACGAUCCCUAGCCUGUCUGAGAGGAUGAUCAGCCACAAUGGAACUGUGACACGGCCCAUACUCCUACGGAGUCAGCAGUGGGGAAUAUUGCACAAUGGGCGAAAGCCUGAUGCAGCCAUGCCGCGUGUAUGAAGAAGGCCCUAGGGUUGUAAAGUACUUUCAGUCGGGAGGCGUUACCGACAGAAGAAGCACCGGCUAACUCCGUGCCAGCAGCCGCGGUAAUUC